AGAAUCAACGCUGGCGGCGUGCCUAACACAUGCAAGUCGCACGAGAAAGGGGAGCAAUUCCUGAGUAAAGUGGCGCACGGGUGAGUAACACGUGAAUAAUCUACCUCCGAGUGGGGAAUAACUGAGAGAAAUCUUAGCUAAUACCGCAUAACACUUACGAGUCAAAGCAGCAAUGCGCUUGGAGAGGAGUUCGCGGCCGAUUAGUUAGUUGGCGGGGUAAUGGCCCACCAAGACGAUGAUCGGUAUCCGGCCUGAGAGGGCGCACGGACACACUGGAACUGAAACACGGUCCAGACUCCUACGGGAGGCAGCAGUGGGGAAUUUUGCGCAAUGGGGGAAACCCUGACGCAGCAACGCCGCGUGGAGGAUGAAGCCCCUUGGGGUGUAAACUCCUUUCGAUCGGGAAGAUAAUGACGGUACCGAUAUAAGAAGCCCCGGCUAACUUCGUGCCAGCAGCCGC
rnacentral:rRNA from 1 species